rnacentral:rRNA from 1 species
CAAGUUGAACGGUUCAGCCCAAGCAGCAAUGUGAGGGUUGGAUAGUAGCGGACGGGUGAGUAACGCGUGAGCAACCUACCUUUGUGAGGGGGACGACAGCUGGAAACGGCUGCUAAUACCGCAUAAGGCCACGGCCCCGAUUGGGGCUGAGGUAAAAGAUUUAUCGCACAAAGAUGGGCUCGCGUCCCAUUAGCUAGUUGGUGAGGUAACGGCCCACCAAGGCUUCGAUGGGUAGCCGACCUGAGAGGGUGAUCGGCCACACUGGAACUGAGACACGGUCCAGACUCCUACGGGAGGCAGCAGUGGGGAAUAUUGGGCAAUGGGCGCAAGCCUGACCCAGCAACGCCGCGUGAGGGAAGAAUGUCUUCGGAUUGUAAACCUCUGUCCUUGGGGACGAAAAAAAUGACGGUACCCGAGGAGGAAGCUCCGGCUAACUACGUGCCAGCAGCCGCGGUAAUACGUAGGGAGCGAGCGUUGUCCGGAAUUACUGGGCGUAAAGGGUGCGUAGGCGGCAAUGCAAGUCAGAUGUGAAAUCCCCGGGCUUAACUCGGGGGGUGCAUUUGAAACUGCGUUGCUUGAGUGCAGGAGAGGAAAGCGGAAUUCCUAGUGUAGCGGUGAAAUGCGUAGAUAUUAGGAGGAACACCAGUGGCGAAGGCGGCUUUCUGGACUGUAACUGACGCUGAGGCACGAAAGCGUGGGGAGCAAACAGGAUUAGAUACCCUGGUAGUCCACGCUGUAAACGAUGGAUACUAGGUGUGGGGGAGAUACAACCUCCGUGCCGCAGCAAACGCAAUAAGUAUCCCGCCUGGGGAGUACGGCCGCAAGGCUGAAACUCAAAGGAAUUGACGG